CAUCAUCACGUGAUGACGUCAUCGUUGCCGGAGUAACUACCUUGACUGAGUUAAGAAGAAACUCUUUUCCACUUUCUGUCACCAUAAACAUGAAUCAACACGACGUUGUUCUCUAUAUACAUUGGCAGUCUCCUCUGAAUGAAGGUGUCAGAAGGAGAGCAGGAAUCAGCUGAGGGAGGCAGCUAAAGGAAGAAUUUCAAAGAUGUCUUCAAAAAAACAGCUAGCUGACCAGGUACAUUAAAGCCCAGAGAUGUGUGAGGAUAUGUGUUUGCUGGAGUGAGAGGAUGAGAGCCUGUUAAACAUGCCAACAUCAGGAUGUAUCAGUCUUGCCAAGGAAAACGUGGAAAACACAUCCAGAGUGUGUACACACCAAUCUGAGCUGAAAGCUGCAUCCUUCUUUUCACUGAAGCAAGAGGAUUUGUUACUGGGAGCAGCCGAGAAGGGCUACACAAAUCUACCUUGAUGUGGGUCAGCCUACCCCAGCAUGCACUGGAAGGAGGGAAGGACGGGAAACACCCUGGACAGUGGAGGCACGAGAGAAAAACAAAGUUCUCUUCAACAAUUCAAGGCAACACGGGAAAGUUUUCCUGAUUACGCCAAAUCACUGAAAGUUGUUAUCGUGCCGGCCUCCCGCUGAGAGCAGCUGCUCGGCUGUCGCAUUAAUCCAUGUUGCUUAUGCAAAUGUACACCCUUUUGAAAGGUUCUCCAGAAAUAUGAUGCUAUUUAGGCUGCCAAUCAUUGUUUAUAUAAUUACGCCAUUACAUGUUCUUGUGGAGUUUUGAUGAAUGACACCUAGAUCAACAGCAGAAUGGAAGACUGACAGCAUGAGACAUUUUUUCUACUUGAAAAAAUAACUUUUUCUUGCGUCGUAGAAAAUCUCACAAAAGAUGUGUAAUCAAUAAAGUUGGAUUAAGAUUGUUAUAAGUAACGACACUAAUGCAUUUGUGCCAUCAAUAAGACAUGGAUCGCCCGCCGUUUGUGCCAAAUUAUUGGUUGAGACAGCUAGCUGUGCACAGCCAGUUUAGAACGUCAUCGCUCUUUGUGUCAGAUUUAUCCAUAACUUUGUUAUAUCACUGUGAAUAAUGUGGGGAAUACCAGGAUGAGGCCAGCUGGAUGAAAUGCUUCUACUGUUUUAGGGUAGUCUUAUGGUAACAUGGCUCAGGUUUUUCAGUGAUAAAUGAGCUGACAAUACAGCUCAGAGGAGAGGAGUUAACAUGAGGAGACUGGCGCUCCAGCAUGCAGGUUCAAUUGCUUUAUUGAUGAGGCAGGGGAAGCAGUCAACAGCUGAUUGCGAGUUUAAUUAAGUGUACUUGUCAAGGACACGGGUCUCAGCUCUGCUGAGUCGAGAAUAUCGUCCACUUCCCGAAAAUCCCAUCAUAACCCUGUAGCACCCUGAUGGAUAACUCUGUGUCUUUCGGCACCGAAGAGAGUCGUCUUUGAGCUAACUCAGGUUUCAAUUAGCUUCUACUCCACCUUCCAUCUCCCGGCACCUUCCUGCUUUGUAAAAUCAGUUAAGGAAGACGCCUGCAGGACUGCCUGUUCAAAGCAGCCUCUGGAUUAUGGACGCUUUAUGGCAUUGUGUGUGUGCGUGUGUGUGUGUUCGUAUGUGUGUGUGUGUAUUUUAUGCUCAGGAAUUCUACUAUUCUGUUUGGACACAGUGAUGGUACGUGUCCACAGGAUCCGUCCUUUCCACACUUCCCAUUCGUUGUCCUUGUAAGCAGCCGUGCAAUGCAUUCUGGUAGCGUGGCGGCGCGAUUCGAGAGACGAAGAGUCACGACGGGCGGUCUUCAUUUGCAUAAAGUUGAGGUUCAGUCUGCUUUAUGCAAAUCACGGGCAUCCGACGUGACUUGCCGGCUCUCGAAACUUCCGAGAAUCUUUUAAAAUAAACGUUGUCGAUCCAAAAUAAAGACAGAUUCAGCAACUCCGUGGCUUAUUUCUCGCCUCAAAUGUUUUCAGAAACACAUUUUGGUGAACUAUUUUCGUGAAAUAAGA